rnacentral:tRNA from 1 species
CAAGACAUAGCUAAAAAAUGUAAAGCAUCUCCCUUACACUGAGAAGUCAUCCGUGCAAACCGGAUUGUCUUGA